UGGGGAAUAUUGCACAAUGGAGGGAACUCUGAUGCAGCGACGCCGCGUGAACGAAGAAGGCUUUCGAGUCGUAAAGUUCUUUUAUAUGGGAAGAUAAUGACGGUACCAUAAGAAAAAGCCCCGGCUAACUACGUGCCAGCAGCCGCGGUAAUACGUAGGGGGCUAGCGUUGUCCGGAAUCACUGGGCGUAAAGGGUUCGCAGGCGGAAAUGCAAGUCAGGUGUAAAAGGCAGUAGCUUAACUACUGUAAGCAUUUGAAACUGCAUAUCUUGAGAAGAGGAGAGGUAAGUGGAAUUUUUAGUGUAGCGGUGAAAUGCGUAGAUAUUAAAAAGAAUACCGGUGGCGAAGGCGACUUGCUGGGCUCAUUCUGACGCUGAGGAACGAAAGAGUGGGUAGCAAGCAGG
rnacentral:rRNA from 1 species